GAUGAGCGCUAGCGACAGGCUUAACACAUGCAAGUCGAGGGGCAGCAGGGGAGUAGCAAUACUCCCGCUGGCGACCGGCGCACGGGUGAGUAACACGUAUGCAACCUGCCCUUGUCAGGGGGAUAAGCGGAAGAAAUUCCGUCUAAUACCGCAUAAUGCUGCGGGGAGACAUCUCCCUGCAGCCAAAGAUUUAUCGGACAAGGAUGGGCAUGCGGCGCAUUAGCUUGUUGGCGGGGUAACGGCCCACCAAGGCGACGAUGCGUAGGGGUUCUGAGAGGAAGGUCCCCCACACUGGUACUGAGACACGGACCAGACUCCUACGGGAGGCAGCAGUGAGGAAUAUUGGUCAAUGGCCGGGAGGCUGAACCAGCCAAGUCGCGUGAGGGAAGACGGUCCUAUGGAUUGUAAACCUCUUUUGUCAGGGAGCAAAAACUGCCACGUGUGGCAGGAUGAGAGUACCUGAAGAAAAAGCAUCGGCUAACUCCGUGCCAGCAGCCGCGGUAAUACGGAGGAUGCGAGCGUUAUCCGGAUUUAUUGGGUUUAAAGGGUGCGUAGGCGGACAGUUAAGUCAGCGGUAAAAUUGAGAGGCUCAACCUCUUCCCGCCGUUGAAACUGAUUGUCUUGAGUGGGCGAGAAGUAUGCGGAAUGCGUGGUGUAGCGGUGAAAUGCAUAGAUAUCACGCAGAACUCCGAUUGCGAAGGCAGCAUACCGGCGCCCAACUGACGCUGAAGCACGAAAGCGUGGGUAUCGAACAGGAUUAGAUACCCUGGUAGUCCACGCAGUAAACGAUGAAUACUAAUUGUUCGGGUCAAAUGAGAUCUGAGUGAUACAGCGAAAGCGUUAAGUAUUCCACCUGGGGAGUACGCCGGCAACGGUGAAACUCAAAGGAAUUGACGGGGGCCCGCACAAGCGGAGGAACAUGUGGUUUAAUUCGAUGAUACGCGAGGAACCUUACCCGGGCUCAAACGACACAGGAAUGAUCUGAGAAAUCAGGCAGUCCUCCGGGACCUGUGUCGAGGUGCUGCAUGGUUGUCGUCAGCUCGUGCCGUGAGGUGUCGGCUUAAGUGCCAUAACGAGCGCAACCCCCAUCGACAGUUGCCAGCAGGUCAAGCUGGGCACUCUGUCGAGACUGCCGGCGCAAGCUGUGAGGAAGGCGGGGAUGACGUCAAAUCAGCACGGCCCUUACGUCCGGGGCGACACACGUGUUACAAUGGCAGGUACAGCGGGAAGCCACCUGGCGACAGGGAGCGGAACCCGAAAGCCUGUCUCAGUUCGGAUUGGAGUCUGCAACUCGACUCCAUGAAGCUGGAUUCGCUAGUAAUCGCGCAUCAGCCACGGCGCGGUGAAUACGUUCCCGGGCCU
rnacentral:rRNA from 1 species